rfam:Acyrthosiphon pisum strain LSR1 Contig17381, whole genome shotgun sequence.
AAUGCUUAUGAUGAUAAUUUAUCACAUAUUAAUGAAUUUUGGUGAUUGUUUAUUACAUGCACUACCAACUGAAGUAUU